rnacentral:rRNA from 1 species
GACGAACGCUGGCGGCGUGCCUAACACAUGCAAGUCGAACGGAGAUAUGAUUUCGGUUGUAUCUUAGUGGCGAACGGGUGAGUAACGCGUGAGCAACCUGACUCUUAGAGGGGGAUAACACCCGGAAACGAGUGCUAAUACCGCAUAAGACCACGACAUGGCAUCAUGACGAGGUCAAAGGAGCAAUCCGCUGAGAGAGGGGCUCGCGUCCCAUUAGAUAGAUGGCGGGGUAAUGGCCCACCAUGUCAGCGAUGGGUAGCCGAGCUGAGAGGCUGAUCGGCCACACUGGAACUGAGACACGGUCCAGACUCCUACGGGAGGCAGCAGUGGGGAAUAUUGGGCAAUGGGCGCAAGCCUGACCCAGCAACGCCGCGUGAGGGAAGAAGGCUUUCGGGUUGUAAACCUCUGUCCUUGGUGACGAAAAAAUGACGGUAGCCAAGGAGGAAGCCCCGGCUAACUACGUG